rnacentral:siRNA from 1 species
UUGGAUGUUUGCCCCGAGUGCUU